UCUGACAAGGAAGGUGUGUUUUUUUCCUCAUCCACCCCAAUAAUCCAGCGCUUUGCUUGCUAUUCCUCCAGGCUUACGAGACUCAGCUCCAGCAGAACCAAGAGGCAUUGAGGUCAGCCAGCGAGGCCUUGCUAGCUCAGGUUGAAAAGCUGAAUACCCACCUCAGGGAGGAGAGUCAGAAGGUGACAGCCCUGGAGAGCCAAGUAGAAGUCCUUUCUCCACUGCAGGGAAUGCUGCAAGAUUUUCAGGAGAGAGUCCGAGACCUGGAGAAGGAGCGAGAUUUGCUGAAGGAAGAUUACGACAAACUGCUGGAGAGCUGCCUCAGCAAUACCCAGCACCCCCUAGACGUGGUUCCUCAGAAGGACAGCGCCCCUUGCUUGGAAGAACAACUCAGCUCAGCAAUUGCAGAGAAGCAGAGGCUGCAGGAGCAGCUGGAGAAGG